GAUGAACGCUGGCGGCGUGCCUAAUACAUGCAAGUCGAGCGAACAGACGAGGAGCUUGCUCCUCUGACGUUAGCGGCUGACGGGUGAGUAACACGUGGAUAACCUACCUAUAAGACUGGGAUAACUUCGGGAAACCGGAGCUAAUACCGGAUAACAUGUUGAACCGCAUGGUUCAACAGUGAAAGACGGUCUUGCUGUCCCUUAUAGAUGGAUCCGCUCCGCAUUAGCUAGUUGGUAAGGUAACGGCUUACCAAGGCAACGAUGCGUAGCCGACAGGAGGGGGUGAUCGGCCACACUGGAACUGAGACACGGUCCAGACUCCUACGGGAGGCAGCAGUAGGGAAUCUUCCGCAAUGGGCGGAAGCCUGACGGAGCAACGCCGCGUGAGUGAAGAAGGUCUUCGGAUCGUAAAACUCUGUUAUUAGGGAAGAACAAAUGUGUAAGUAACUAUGCACGUCUUGACGGUACCUAAUCAGAAAGCCACGGCUAACUACGUG
rnacentral:rRNA from 1 species